AUGGAAAUCUCCGUAAUUUUUAGAUAGUAUAGGGGCGGAUGUAGCCAAGUGGAUCAAGGCAGUGGAUUUGUGAAUCCACCA
rnacentral:tRNA from 1 species